AACGUAGGGGGCGAGCGUUGCCCGGAUUCACUGGGCGUAAAGCGGGUGUAGGCGGUCUCUUAAGUCGGAUGUGAAAUCCUGCGGCCUAACCGCGGAACUGCAUCCGAUACUGGGAGACUUGAGGACGGUAGAGGUCGGUGGAAUUCCCGGUGUACCGGUGAAAUGGACAGAUAUCGGGAAGAACACCCGUGGCGAAGGCGGCUCUCUGGGACGGUACUGACGCUGAGACGCGAAAGCGUGGGGAGCGAACAGG
rnacentral:rRNA from 1 species